UGGCCCUCCAGUCGCUCAGUCCUGUCCUGGACUUCCCGGGUCCCAUUCACCAACCUCCCUGCGGGGAGAAAGUCAGGAGCCUGCUUGAGUGGGAAGGGAAGACCUACAGGGAGAAAGCAAAUUGAUAACUUCAAAACAUUCCGCCACUUUGAUUCUGAAACUCCUAACUUGUUUUUCCGUUUGGUGCAUGUUUUCGAAUAGGCACAGUCAACACCAGUCCUCACAUGACGAACAGAGAGUAUAACUGGAAGAGAAAAGAGGAGUCGGAAGCUGGACUCCAUUAUAGAAAACGAUAAUAACGGUGCUUACUGUGAUAAGUGAAGUCAGUCAGGUUCAAGACCAAGCCAGCAUCCUGGCUCAAGGGCUGAAGGAUUAUCUGAUGAGAAGUUUACUUAGAAGCUGCUGAAACGGUUCACUGCUGCAUUUAUUUUAUAAGCAGUCGGUGGGCUGCUACAAAAGUUCCCGUUUGGAGUAGCUGCAUGAUACCUGAGCGGUUUAAAAAUUCCUCAGGAUGAGGUAGCCCCAGACUCAUGGCCUGCCAAGUGAAACGCUGCAUGCAGCUGACAGCAAGUCACAGUAGAACACAGGUUGUUAAGAGCACCAUACAAUAUAUUGUCAUCUAAAGCAUAGAACCUAUAAUUUUGAUUUGUGAUAUUGGUAGAAUUAGUGCCCUGCUAACAUUUUCUAAAGUUACUCCCUUCCUCCCCAAUUCAGUAACUACUGAAAAAAAAAAAAAAAUGGAACGAUGUCCCAUAAUCUCAGUUACUGAAAGCAAAGCUGAGAAGUUAACAGGCUUACAUUCCAUAGUACACUGUUUGAUACUCUUUUUGUUUUAUUUUUAAAAGUCAAAUAAAGUUGAAUUUUAUGCUGUGUUUACCAGAAUCCAUUGUUUCCCUACAACAAAACUUUGGAGGAACGCAAGACCCUCUGCUCUAGGGAAAACCACAAGAGGAGGAGGAACAAG